rnacentral:lncRNA from 1 species
GGUGAUCAGCUGAUUCAUGCCCAUUCUGGCAUUCAUCUUCCCCAACACUGCAUAGUGCAUCAAGCGGAAGAUUCAGCAGUAUCCACAAAAAUAUAGUUUGUGCUAAUAAUAUACAUUGCCGCCAACCACAGCCUUUGCUUUGCAAUUGACUGAGGCAAUAUUCUUGAACGGAGGCAUGGUAAUGUGGACUUCCCAGAGGAUCAUAGAUGCUCUGACUUCUCUCGACCCACUUUUAAAGGCGUUGUCGGCCAUACUGUUCCAGUUCAGGGACUCUCGCAACAGAAAAGAUCAGCUGCUGGAGAACCCAUGGAAGGCCCUUGGGGAAGCGCCAUGGCCGCAAGGACCCAAUACACCUCUGGAGCAUGAAUGGAGGGCUACCCCGCUGAUGAGACAGAGGGAAGUGUAUAUCCUUUGACACAAAGCUGGUAUCAAUGCAUUAAACAGCUGAAAAACUGAAAUUGAUUCAAGGCCUUCAGUGCUCCCUGCCAAAAAAGCCUCCCGCAAGUAUCUAUUCUAUAUUGAAUUACAGUCGGGAAAAGUUCAAUAGGUUAUUGCACAAACAGACAGCAAAAGCCGUCACCAAUAGAAUGAAAGAAGAUUGUGCAGCCUCCCAGUGAGUUUGCUGCCUGAAAACAAACCCCCAGACUCUGACAUUAAAUCAGUUUAAUUAAAAUGUCCGUUCUUUUAAGGGUUCAUGUAGAAAGACAUAGUUCAAAAUAUUCACAUUUGCUUCCUUUUAUUUCAGCCACCUUAAUCCAUAACUAGGUUCCUAAAUAACAGUAGAUUUUCAUAGGUGCUGACCACUUACAACUCCAAAUAUAUAUCUAAAAGGUCAAUUACAAACUCAGGAUUAGCAAACUUUCAGUUCUGCCGUGUGCACAAUUUAAGUGUGCAGUGCGUUAUGCAUUGCAGGGAGAGGCAGUAUGGCCUAGAGGCUAGUACACUGGCCAGGGACUCCAAAAACCUAGGUUCUGGUUCCAUCUCCACUAGUAGUUGGCUGGGUGACCUUGAGCAAGUCACUUCAUCCCUCCUUGCCUCAGUUAGUGAUACUGACCUCCUUUUUAAAGCUCUCGGAGAUCUACUGAUGAAAAGUGCUAAAUAAGAGCUGAGCCUUAUUAUUGUAAUUAAGAUUUUGCACUAUACUGUGAGGGAGAUGCACAUGUUGUGUGUAGUGUGUUUUCUUCAUCAGCUGAAGGCAGAAAGCAGUUCGUUGUGAUGGUGUGGGCAUCAGGAAAUGGGCCAUGUGCAUUGUGUAUGACUGAAAUCAUGCCUUACCAAUCUACUAGAAUUAUUUGAGGGGAUCAAUAAACAUAUGGACAAGGGGGAUCCA